AAGCUUUAUAAAGUUAAGACUUUUGGUAUAAUACUUGAUUGCCGGGGCAACCCGGCUAUGGCGAUAAACGCUGUGUGGAAUAUACGAAGCGGACCCGGGGGCAGUACCCGGCGCCUCCACCAGCUGGUCUCUCACACCAUGGGGCCAGCGCAUGGGGGCGACCUAGCAUCGACGCGCGUCGUAAAGACAUGGUUUUUGCCCGGCAUGGUACCGCCGUUAUCGGACUAAAACAUAAAUGCGAACGACAACGUUCCGCAAGUUGGAGCCAUCGCUGCCUAACGCUCGCAUUGCGAGUUACUAAGCAGUUAGCUUCAACGCGGCUGGGGGCGUGCCGGGCAACAGAAACGCCCUGUA
rnacentral:tmRNA from 1 species